ensembl:snoRNA
GGGCUGAUGAAGGGCUGCCCCCCACCCCCUCUCCAACUCUGCUGCUCUGCUUCUGAAG